GCCUGGCUAGCUUAGUCGGUAGAGCAUGAGACUCUUAAUCUCAGGGUCGUAGGUUUGAGUCCCACGUCUGGCG
rfam:Schistosoma rodhaini strain Burundi genome assembly, scaffold: SROB_scaffold0000244